rnacentral:rRNA from 1 species
ACUGGUCAAUCUAGUGGCGAACGGGUGAGUAACACGUGGGUAACCUGCCCAUCAGAGGGGGAUAACAUCCGGAAACGGAUGCUAAAACCGCAUAGGUCUUCGAGCCGCAUGGCUUGAAGAGGAAAAGAGGCGCAAGCUUCUGCUGAUGGAUGGACCCGCGGUGCAUUAGCUAGUUGGUGAGGUAACGGCUCACCAAGGCCGUGAUGCAUAGCCGACCUGAGAGGGUGAUCGGCCACAUUGGGACUGAGACACGGCCCAAACUCCUACGGGAGGCAGCAGUAGGGAAUCUUCCGCAAUGGACGCAAGUCUGACGGAGCAACGCCGCGUGAGUGAAGAAGGUUUUCGGAUCGUAAAACUCUGUUGUUAGAGAAGAACAAGUGCUAGAGUAACUGUUAGCGCCUUGACGGUAUCUAACCAGAAAGCCACGGCUAACUACGUGCCAGCAGCCGCGGUAAUACGUAGGUGGCAAGCGUUGUCCGGAUUUAUUGGGCGUAAAGCGAGCGCAGGCGGUUCCUUAAGUCUGAUGUGAAAGCCCCCGGCUCAACCGGGGAGGGUCAUUGGAAACUGGGGAACUUGAGUGCAGAAGAGGAGAGUGGAAUUCCAUGUGUAGCGGUGAAAUGCGUAGAUAUAUGGAGGAA